rnacentral:snRNA from 1 species
AGGUGAUGUGGCUAUGACUCCUGUCACUCGGUGGUUGCCAGGGUUUGAUUUGGCUGAUCUUGCCAUCUAGAAAAGUGUCUUCUUCCUCUCCCUCUUCUCCUUGUAUAUUCUCCUGAAGUUGGACUCCCCAUGGAAAGGACAGAUUUUGCUGAUAAAGGAGGGUCAUCCCUCUGUCAUAACUGUGCUCACUUUGUAGGACCUCAGAGUAAGCUCUCAUAGUCCACUGCAGGAGAAAGUGCAGUAGCAAAACCUUCAAGAUUCCAAAUGUAUCCAAAUGAGAUGCUACAGAGGGCGGUCUGCCUUUAUUA